CCAAAACAAAAAGGAAGAGGAGGAAAUAAAGGAGGAAGAAAAGAAUGCAGAGAACCUGUACUGUGGAGGAAGCAGUGACGAGGAAGAGGAGGCUGAUGGUCUUGAGAUCCUUAUGGAAGCUCCAGAAGGAUUUAGGAACUCUGAUGAAGAUCGUUUCUCUGAAUCACAGGAGUCGAGCGUGGGUGACGUGCAGGAUUUGGGUCAUAUAGAAAUUUCUGAGGGUAAGGAAGAGGAGCACAGCGAGGGAGGCGAGGAUGACGGAAAGGAUCAGGAAGAGGGUUGUUCUAGUCCCAGCCAGGUGGACCUACCUGACUUCGAGUGAGACCACGGAUCUACACUUAAACCAUUUCUCCCACUCUGGUGCCAUCUGUGUCCCUCUUACACUUCAGGAUUGGAGGCCUUGAGGAUGUUCCACUUACUGCUCAGACAAACAGGCUCCUCCCAAUCACGGUGGAGUUUGUGCACAUAUUCGCCUUGUUCUCACCAGGAAUGAUAAACCUCGAGGUUUCUAUACCUCAGUCGUGACUGUAAACACACACACAUACACACACACACACACACACUUCCUCCUCUUCGUCCUCUGACAGUAAUCAUACUUUGAACGCAGACUUUAUCAUGUGCUCUGGGUUAAAGUGGGACCCCACUUAAGUUUACACUUUCAUAAACUGCUCCUGUCAUGUGAAAAAAAACAUUUCAGGAACAGCUUAAAAAGCGGCCUUUUUUGUUUUUUUUAAGUGAUCUAAUCAUUUUCAGGUGGUUUUAUAAUUUCAAGUUGAUGUUUUUCAAGCUACAGAGACGCAUACAAUCAGCUACCAAGAUGCAUUAUAGUGACUUCAGAAAAAAAAAGAAAAAAGAGAGAGUAUUUGUGGAUAUGGAAGAACUACCGAGGUAUUGAUGUUCAGUGUUAACUCUCUGCACAGCCCGGAGCUCUUUCAUUGCGAGACAGGGCUUCUUGAGCAUGUGAUGUUUGUCUGAAGACAUGAAGUCAUUUCCAAAGCAGCAAUGUACCCUGAAAGUGAGAAUUUUAGGCUUUCAGAGACAGUUAAUGUUUAGAAACACACUCGGAGUGAAUUUAAAGGUCAAAAUCGUACCAGCGCCUAAGCUGUUAUUAGAAAUGAACACUUGAAGGAUAGCAGAAGUGCGAAACUGUAUUUAAACCUGCAUGUGUAGCUGCCUCACACACACAUACAUACACACACACACCGCCAGCAUGUCUGCAUUACAAAGCUCAGCUGAUCAGUUUAGGUGUGUAAGCUAUGCUCCGCUCUGAGAAAGCCAUCCGGUCUGUGACUGUGUCAAAAAAAAAAAAA